GACGUAGGGCGCGAGCGUUGUCCGGAUUUACUGGGCGUAAAGCGCGUUCAGGCGGUUUGGCAAGUCGGGCAUGAAAUCUCUCGGCUCAACCGGGAGAGGUUGUCCGAUACUUCCAGACUUGAGGGCAGUAGAGGGUGGUGGAAUUCCGGGUGUAGUGGUGAAAUGCGUAGAUAUCCGGAGGAACACCAGUGGCGAAAGCGGCCACCUGGACUGCACCUGACGCUGACACGCGAAAAGCUAGGGGGAGCGAACGGGG
rnacentral:rRNA from 1 species